UACGGAGGGGGCAAGCGUUGUUCGGAAUCACUGGGUGUAAAGGGUGCGUAGGCGGUCCGCCAAGUCUGAUGUGAAAGCCCUGGGCUCAACUCAGGAACUGCAUUGGAAACUGGCGGACUGGAGUACCGGAGAGGGAAGCGGAAUUCCUGGUGUAGCGGUGAAAUGCGUAGAUCCCAGGAGGAACACCGGUGGCGAAGGCGGUUUCCUGGCCGAGUACUGACGCUGAGGCACGAAAGCGUGGGGAUCAAACAGG
rnacentral:rRNA from 1 species